UAAGGAAUAUUGGUCAAUGGAGGGAACUCUGAACCAGCCAUGCCGCGUGCAGGAAGACGGCCCUCUGGGUUGUAAACUGCUUUUAUUCGGGAAUAAACCACAUUACGUGUAGUGUGCUGAAUGUACCGAAGGAAUAAGGAUCGGCUAACUCCGUGCCAGCAGCCGCGGUAAUACGGAGGAUCCAAGCGUUAUCCGGAUUUAUUGGGUUUAAAGGGUGCGUAGGCGGCUUAUUAAGUCAGGGGUGAAAGACGGUAGCUCAACUAUCGCAGUGCCCUUGAUACUGAUGGGCUUGAAUGAACUAGAGGUAGGCGGAAUGUGACAAGUAGCGGUGAAAUGCAUAGAUAUGUCUCAGAACACCGAUUGCGAAGGCAGCUGUCUAAGCCGUUAUUGACGCUGAUGCACGAAAGCGUGGGGAUCGAACA
rnacentral:rRNA from 1 species